UACGGAGGGAGCUAGCGUUGUUCGGAAUUACUGGGCGUAAAGCGCACGUAGGCGGCUUUGUAAGUUAGAGGUGAAAGCCUGGGGCUCAACCCCAGAAUUGCCUUUAAGACUGCAUCGCUUGAAUCCAGGAGAGGUGAGUGGAAUUCCGAGUGUAGAGGUGAAAUUCGUAGAUAUUCGGAAGAACACCAGUGGCGAAGGCGGCUCACUGGACU
rnacentral:rRNA from 1 species